AUUGAACGCUGGCGGCAGGCCUAACACAUGCAAGUCGAGCGCGCGGCGGACGGGUGUGUAAUGUAUGGGGACUGCCCGUUAGCGGGGGGUAACUACAGGAAACGGUGGCUAAUACCCCAUACGGUCGGAUAAGCCAUAUGGGAUUAGAUAGUAGGUAAGGUAAUGUGUUACAUAGGCGACGAGCCCUCGCUGGUCUGAGAGGAGGAUCAGCCACACUGGGACUGAGACACGGCCCAGACUCCUACGGAGGCAGCAGUGGGGAAUAUUGCACAAUGGGCGCAAGCCUGAUUCAGCCAUGCCGCGUGUAUGAAGAAGGCCCUAGGGUUGUAAAGUACUUUCAGUCGGGAGGCGUUACCGACAGAAGAAGCACCGGCUAACUCCGUGCCAGCCGCCGCGGUAAUAC
rnacentral:rRNA from 1 species